ACGGCAGCCGCCGGGCACGGCGUUGGGAGGCUGCGGCUGCGGGCAGCGCCGCGUGCUUCGGGCCUUCGGGUGGUCACCAACACUGCUCGCAUCGCUUCGGGCUUCUUUGCCCCAGGCCGAACAGAGCCGGGUCGCUCAGCCUUCCCUCGCCGGGAGAUGCUCUGUGUAUCUUUGCGUCCCUCCGCCGGGCUCCUUCCGGGAUGCCGCGAACAUUCUUGAGAGGAUGUCACAGCCUGCUGAGGAGCCCCGGAGCUGAUCAGCGCCUCUUUGGCCCACCAGACACGCCUGGAGAAACCUCAGCAUGUGCCAGCACUCAGACUGCUCCCUCACUUAGUUCCCUCGCCAUGCUUGCAGCUGGGCGCUACACCAGGUGCUCCUCAGUUCCCAGAGCUGUUGCACCUACUGCGUGUCAAACAUCAGCAUCAGAGGAAUGGCAAAGUUGUAGAAAGUGGUAUUACUGCUACCUAUCGCUACCUCUGCAGUUUCUAAUAGUGGCAUUACAAAGCAGAAAGUUUCUUGUGCUGAGCAAACGCAUACACAAGUCAUGGUGCACUGCUAAAGAGAAGUUUCAGAGCAAAAAUCCAAGGAACCCAUCUUUUAAAUCUUAUUUUAUAUGAAUGAGACAGACUGAGAAGCCUUUCUUCCAUCCAAACUUCACAGCACUCAAAUACCUCCUGGUCCAAGCUGGUACACGCUAAGGAUUUUACCUUAUCCUCAAUUACUCCAACUUGUUAAAACCAACUACAGCAAGCAAAACUUAUGCUGUACUCCAUGGAGAGUCCCCAGGGAUAACACAAAAUGAAGCCUGUUUGGUGAUAUACAUUUACUAAAUUCGUGGAAGACCAACAAGUCCGGCUUCUAGAAAUCCAGAGAUGCAGAAUUCCAGAGCCAGGAACAGAAGAUAAGAUCCUGGAAACAGCAGUGGAUAUGCUAACAAAGUGCUGCCACAACACGUGUUUGUUGGGCAACGAGUUUAAAGCACUUCAACAUCAGUGACGUUCCCCAUACAGUCAUCUACACAGAGCAUUCUGUUGUUGGUUUUGGACUAUCUGACUAUGCAUAUUAGGCAACAGUUCCAUUCUAGGGCUCAGUUACGGCCACAUUAACAGCUGAGUCACAUCUACUUACCUUGAAACAAGAAUAAAUACGGAUAAAACACAAUGUGACACUUAAUGCUGACCAAAUACACAUUUAGUGUUCGCUAUCCUAAAAGGAUAAGACUUGUACCCAUCCUUAUUAGUGAACAAAUUAAGCAGCAGGUAUGAUUAUUACUAUGUCAAAAGAAGCAAUGCUCUACAGCACAAGGCAGGGCUGGGUUAACCCCAAACUGGUUCUCCCCAUCCGUAUCACCAGCCCAACAUCCAGCUUCUGCUCCGCUACUACAGGGCAUUGCCUGCAAUCCCAACAGUGAAAUAAAAAGACCAGGGGGCCACAAUAGCCAGCAGGUGGUUGGAUCUGCCUCCCUCUUUUGACCGCUUGCCCAGCAUUUACAUCACAACAGCAGCAUGUUUUCCUGACCUCAGGUUUGGUCUGAGCAAACAACAGGCUGGGGAGAGCAGGCAGCAAUGCAAGAGGACGGCAGGACCCCACUCACAGCCCCUCUGGAGCACCACGAUUCCAUAGGACUGCAGUUAUACUCAGAUUAUCUUUGCCUGUUCAGUAGUGCAGGCCUUUCAUUGCUGUUUGAGGUUCUGAGUAGGAUGCCCAAUUAAUUCAAAUCCUUCUGUACCUCCUUUCUUGCCUUUCCUCUUCCCCUUGAGUUCACACAGUCAUUCAUGAUACCCUACGAUUCUAAGAUGGAUUUGUGAUAGAAGCCCUUUGCAGAAAUGCAUGUAUUAUCCAAGCAGCACCUCGCUUUGCUUCAAUUCAUUUCCUACUCCUAGGUGUAAGUCGCACUCAGGCUUCCUUUGCAGUCAGAGAUGAAGAGAAAGACAAGUAUCCACAGAAGGCAGAGGAAGGCUGGAAUGAGCUGAAGAUGAGAUCAAGGGGAAAAGGCUUUGUUGGCAUUUGUGAAAGCUAUUAGUUGCUGAGCCACUGCCUUCAUUGUAGAUGAAUAAAAAUCCUCUUCAAGUAUUCACCCAAGGUAGUAAAUAUCAUACUAGAACCCCUUUCUUUUUCCCCACCCAACUCACAGCAUUAAAAGUGAUUAAUUUCUAUCACAAUAACGAGUCCUUUCCCUGCACUGACUUCCCCACACACCAGACCUUACCUUCAGUAAGGCAGAAAUGCAUCGUCUGAAACUUCAUUUUGCUUUGUUUUUUAAAGCUCACAGACAUGCUACUGAGCACAAAUAGAAUACAAACACUCCAGUCAUUUCUCUUCCCCUUUGUAUAAUCAUUUAUCCUGAACUUCGGAGUGCAUUAGGUUCAGGCACAGUAAAACAAGCCCAGCAUACACAGGAGCUCGGUUUGCUUGGUCACUGUGAGUGAGGCCACGCAUUGGAAUGCAGUUCCACAUAGCUGCACAUGCUAAUUCAGCCUUCCUGUAUUUCAGAACCUGAUUCUGCCCAGGUGAGGACCCACCUUCCUUUACAAACAUCCACACUUGCUAUACUUUCCAGUUAAGACAUCCCACAGCUGCCAACAGGCACUUCUUGCAUCUAUUUUCACUCAAAUUAACUGUCAGCUCUGAACACCUACUUGACUCCUAAUGCUGCCUUGGAGCAGACAGCAGCCACAGCACUCACACACACAGCAUUCCAAAACACAACUCUUACUGGUUUUGCCCAUACUGCUGUACUUCCCAGAGCUCUUAGCUAGCAGAAGUUGAAGCAUUAAUAAACACAAAUAUUCAUUUCCUAUGGGUUUCCAUUCAUAAGGCCAUCUGAGAUAGGAAAGCAAAUAGUUAAGGAACAAUGGCAGAAACAGAACGUUUUUGAGACGACUGCAAAAAGAGCAGAAAUGAUGUAAGAAAAACAAGGCUCCAUCAUCUGUGGUUUUCAAGAAGGGAGCCAUUCAUGAAGUAUGGAGAAAAGAGAAAAACGUAUUUUAUUCCCCUCCUCGGGGGGCUCUUAAAUAUACACCGUAUGUUGCAAGCUUUUUGUGGGAACUUUCAAAGAGAGAAAUGCAGCACAUGAGCAGCAACAACACUCCAAGGCUCUGAACGUUCUCCCAGCUCAUGUCCCACCAUCCAUUCCAUGUAAAGAUCUGUGCUUUGCACUUCACUCAGAGGGCACACAGCAUGCUGAGGCACUUUGUACAGCUGCUACCUGAAGAUCUGACCCACAACAAACGAUGCUACAAAAGAAAGCUCAAUUAUCAAAACUUUAUUUCAGCAUUGGAUGCUCAACAGUGUGCUCUGCAUAUCUGCCUAAGCAGCCAAUUUGCUGCUAGGUAAGCAAAGAAUUUCUCAUCCUCUGAUCCUGUUUGUACAGUGCUGAACUCUAGCACACAAGAGGGUGAACUGUGAAUACUGUGAAACUCAAUUGAUUAAAUCACUGACUGCUUUUAGUAAUAGCAUUUCUGUUAAGAGGAAGCACUUCCAUUUACUCAGCUGUUUAUCUAGCUUAAGCUGAAGUGGGAAUACACAUACUGCAUGGAGAAAAACAUAUAUGGCCUAGCCAGCCUGCUUCUUUUUGGAGAGAAGUCUCUUUAUGUUUAGCAGAUGAUAAAUCCUUUUGGAAUACUCAAUAUUUAAUAUCUGCUACUUAGUCCUAGGCUUUUGUCAUAUUUAAAAGGAAAGGAAAAUAACAUGUCACUUUCCAAGGCCUAGAAUAGUAGUCCUGUGCUUGGUAUAGAUAGUGAUUAAUAACAAGAAAUUCUUCUACUCAGAUCUUUUUCCAUUUCCUCCAGUAUUGUUUUUAUCAGUCUGAGAAUCCUGGAGAGCUUUCGCUUGGCCUGCUAUUGGCAGAGCAUGCUACUCACCUGCCCCAGCAGAGUUGUGUGCAUGGGAAGGACAGAUUUCAGCCACUCGGCCUGCAGACUCCUGGAGGCAUCUGAUACAAUUACACUUGUUCAUGUUGUCUCUAAAAUUCAAGAUUCAGCAAUUAAACUGGGAUCUCUCACAUUGUAAACGAAGUCCAGGAUGAGAUUGCUGAUAAAUGCAAAACACCAGGAAAAAAGAUAUCAGACGCCUUACAUCCCACCACAGACCUCUGAGCAGCCCCAGCAUCUUCUCCAGUUGCGUUUCCAGUCCAAAGCCAUGCAGUUUCCUCAUGCCAAUCAGAUAGUUUUGCAUUAACACACUGAUGAGGAUUUGAGUCUGGAUGGUGGAGAAUUACCUGCAACUUACUUAAUAUUGCUGCCACUUCCACCACAAAUGCCAGACAGAAAGAACACUGCAGGAAAAAACGAGAAGUUACAGGUGUGCAUGAGUCAACAGCGGUUAUUUUUUCAGUCUGACAGCAGCACUGCACUUUGUGGGGAACAAAGACAAACAUAAGCUAGAUCUCAUUGGAGCAGAGCAGCCAGCUUUGAAUGCUGUGCCCUAAGUGUGCCUCAGACAGGCUACAGCUAGAAAGCCAGUCAGAGCAGCCACCUGUUCAGAAAACAACAUGCAGGGAGAGAACAGAGAAACAGAGGUGGCUGGCCUGACAGAGACCACAAAAUCUGUAAGUGCUUUCAGCUAAAUGUUAACAAUACCAAAAGGAAAUACCUUUUUCCCAGUCAUUGCCCGUAUGAAAAGAAAUGGAAGAUUCAGUCAGACGAUAUGAUGAGCAAGGACAGCAAGGUAAUGGAAGAAAUUAUUGGGGAGCAGAAAUGCCAUUAUCAGGUACCUCAAGAGCAGCCCCCACAAACACCUGCUCAGAAGAACACUGUGGCUGACCCUGCCCUGAAUGGAAUUAGAGAACAGCUCACUGUCCAUACUUGCCAGUCAAGGUCUGAUUUUUUUUCCCUGUUCCAUCACUAUUUGUUUGUUUUACUAUCAUGUCUAUCAAGUCUAACCUCUUGACUUUUAUGCCAGGUCCUGGGGCAGAAAAAACACGUGAGAGAAAUUCCACAAGAGGCACAAAAAUGUAAUACAAGAGAUAACAGCAAAAUAGACAGGUAAGAAGAUCCAAGGAAACAGCAAGAGAGCACUGAGGGCCCCACCUGCAUGCAAGCAGAUAACCAAGGACUCCUGCAAUUGUUACAGUAAAGUAAGGGUUUCUUAGAAGAGGCUGUUCAUGUGAUAUUCUUCUUCAUGUGAAAAUAACAACCUUAAAUGCAACAAGCAGACACAGAGGCUGGCACACUGCAAUCUGGGACAAGAAAGGGCUGCAAUAUCAAACCACUACCCCUGCACAACACCACUCUGAAUGGAGUAAAUACCUCACAUUAGGGAAAACAGUAUUGGAAGGAGUGAUUAAUUAGUGAAACGGUGCAGAAGUUUUACACGGGCAGAUGGCCAAGGAACUCGUCUCUAAAAAUCUCACAUAGAAAUAUGGAAGUCUAGACAACCCUAGUAAGGAUUAGAGAGAAUCUUAUUUCAGACGAUGCCUGAUUUGAAUUUGCACGAUAAGCAAAUAAGGCUGUUUCAUCUGCUGUGCCUGAGACAGUGAUGAAGGAGGACUGGCAGAGGAAGAUGAGAAUCUCCGCUUUAAUUGCGUGAUGCAUGAGCUGAUGCUUCAUUUACACAGACAACAUGAGAUUUUAACUUCUGACAGAAAACAGAGCCAGGUAACACCAGAACUGCUGGUAAGACCAUUGGAUUCGUGCUCAUGCAAAAAUGAGGGACACGAGAUGAAUGACUGGCCUUCCACCACCUACAGAAAACCCAAAGAGGGACAAACACGACGUGGUCAAGAAAGAUGUAGGAAGGUGCAGAAAAAAAACCUGGUAGCAACCAGUCCCAAAACCAUUGGAAAACAGGUCUAAGAACAUGGUUACCUGUGGCAGAAGCAAGAUGACCAAGGAAACUUCUGCUUCUUGGCUCUCAUACUGGGGCGUAAACUUCUUUUAUUUUUUUUUCUUGGCUUUGGACAUUACUGUACAUUGCAGACUGACAGGUGUAGAUUCAAGAAAAGCAUAAGCAAAACCCUUCCUGCUCUGAGAUAAAGCACAUUUUUUUGAUUUGAACAUCACUACAGUCAAGCUGUGAAUCACAACCUCAAAUGAUUCAUCAGAAAUAUCAUCUGCAAAUGGCUAUUACAAGAUCAUCUGUCUCAAGACGGAAUGGAUGUCCAAACGGAUUCACCAAAUUUAGCAAUACAUUACAUGUGAAUGCCUAACAUUCAGCAGGCUUGCCCACAGGAAACACACUUCCUUGUAUUUCACUGGAUUUUGUUCACCUCCAAUUUUAUGAGGGGCCGAGGCACCACAGAAGCAUCAAGUAGAAAAUGGGGUGUAUGCCAGUAAGUUUUAAAAUGCAAUACAUCCUUCUGGAGGGCUGAGGACAAGACAAUCAUAUCAGCAUUUAUAUAUUCCUGCACAAUUACAGCAAAAUCUUUUGUUCAGAUUGCAGAACUCAGCUGUGUCAAUUGAAUCACUCUGAUUGAACUAAUUGAAUUUCAAUUGCUCAAGUCUGGUUUUGAACAGUUUUGUAUGACAUUCAAAAGACUGAAGACUUCAUUUAUAAAUGGAAGCGUGUGUGGGGAGGGACAAGGAAUGAUUUGGCUGUUACCCAAAAACUAACAAAUGUGUAAUAUAUUUCACUGGAGAAGCAUACUGAGGUUUAUCUUUCUGUGAAGGCCUCCAUUUCAGUGCUGCAUGAAGUGUUCCUGGGUUAGGGUACCUUCCCAUGGGGAAGGAGGUAGGGACUCUCACCCCAGCAGCAACUGAAGUAAAACUGCAUGUUACCUGCCCAAGUCCUGCCUCACCCAUGUAGCUACCACUGUUUUAGCAGACUUGAAACAGUUGAAUUACAUCUACAGAUGACACAGAGUGCAUACUGCUUGUAACACUCCUGCUUUUGCUGAUCACAAACUCCACCUGCACCUAGAAGGGAAAAUGCCAUAGCGUGACCAGCAGAAAUUCUCAAACAUUUCCAGAGAAACAUAUGUUUAAUUAGGCUUUAUUUAAAUGCCAGGCUAGAUCUCACUGCUGAUGUCUACCAGCAGCUUCUGUGCAAAUUUGUUCAUUGUUCUUUAUCCUCACUGCAGAAAUGGAACUGUAAGUGGCUCACAAGCUAAAAUCAAAACGUUCACAAAGCCAAUGGCAACAAUUCCAUCAACAAUACGAGCCAGGCCACCACACCUGGGACCUGUUCAGCCUCCUCCUCUGCACCAAUUUAUUCUAUUUAUUCCAGUAAAAUACCUCCCCUUUAAAGGCAUUUGUGGUGGAGAUCCCUAAGAAUCCUGCCCUCUAAGUUUCUAAAAAUGCCCUUCUACUUUAUCUUUAAAAUUGACUUCCAGGCUAAAGAGUUUACUUCCUUCCCUUUCACUUUUCACAACAAAGACAACAUCCACAUAUUCUAGCACAAGUCUUCAAUUUGUUAAAUUUUCAUUUUCUUCCUGAAUGUCUUAAGAGCUGCAUCUAUUUUUAUAACUGGGCAUGAAAAUGGCAGAAGACACACGAUAUAUGCAAAGACCAGCCUGCACGUCCAAGCAGCACCAGGCACUUUCAGAUGGAUAGCAAAUUUGUUGUCCGUUCAGAUUUGUUAAGUAUACACACACACACACAGGUUUCCCACCUGAUGUGCAGAUCACCUCAUCUCAAUUUACUCAUCUUUAAAACAGACUCAGUUCUUCCUCCUGCUUUGUACAUCUCACAGGUAUUACUCAGUUAUCAAUCCAUUGGUCAGAUUUCUCUCUCCCUCAAUGACAUUUUGAACCACUAAAAGAAUUGCAGAACCCUGUCUCAGGGAGCUGGGUAAAACAAGAGUUUCGUAUCCCAUUAUCACCUGUGAUUUACCCUGGAGUUUAACUGUUGAAUUUUUUGUUUAACUGGGCAAAAAAAGCAGUGGGCACACAUCACACUACUCUACACACUAGCCAAAAAAUACCCAAACAAAAAACCCCAAUUGAAACACUAAAUGACACUCAGAACCUGCUCUAACUUUUGGUCGUCCCCAAGGUGGCAACGCAAGUGGAUGUGAUUACCUUUGUAGGCCCCUUCCAAUCAAACUACUGUCUUUGCUAACCUCCCUUUGGAGACUGUGAAUACCUAAUUGCUGAGGAGAGGGGAAAAAAAAAGUCAGCUCUGAGGUGAACACUUUCUUCUAUAACAUGUAAAAUAGUAUUUCUCAUUUUAAAACUAGAACUAUUUUUACUUGAUAGGCUUUAAACUGAGAUUAUUUUAAUUUUUACAACGUAAUCAGUUCUCACCCUGCUUACCAUACUAGAAAAAAGCUCAAAGAUGCCAUGGGAAAAGGACUGAACUACCAUUUUCAGGCUUGAGGUUUUUGUUAUUAAAACCAAAAAGCAACCACAACCUUCAAGCAAACUGAGAAUCUUAAUAUUUAAUGGCAUUUUCAAAAAUGUCAUGUGACUGUCAUUCCAUAAACUAAUAGCCACCUAUGACAAAGACAAUAUGCAAUACAACUUUCAAAAAAGGUGACUUUAUUAGGGCUGAGCCUCAGCGUACACAUAUAUACAUGCUGGAAACAUAAGCCACAGAACUACACUACUUACUGUCACUCAGGUUGCAGUCACCAGGUGCUUGGGAUGAGCAGAGUCGCUUGCUGCACAAGGAGAAACUCUGCAGUGUUAUUUUAGGACUCCUCUUGUGCCCGAAUUUAAGCCUGUGGAACUCGUACCAUCAGUCAACAGGGACAACAAUGAGCAAUGAUUACAGAAUGUUUUCAUAAAUUAGCUAACAAUCUUCUGAUACCUUUGGAUGCAGGAAAUUGUGAUCUCCUCCUUAAUCUCUUUCUUGAAUCGAGCCACAAACACUGUUUGGCAUUCUUCAGCAACAAUCUGAGGGAGGCACGUUAUUAAGAACAGGAGAUGGAAAUGGCAGAAAUGAAAUCAAAGGUAAAUAAAAGGUUGAAAAAGAGCAAGAUCUGGAAACUCUUUGAAGAGGAUAAGGAAGACUGAAAGAAAUUAGGAACACUGCAUAUGUAUUUACAGUUUACACUUAGAACAUCUAGGAAGGAAGCUAAGCCUUCUCUCAAAUAGGACAAAAUUAUUAUUUCUACUGCACAGGUGAAAUGCAAUGAGCUGCUAAUGCAGAUGUUGGGGCUAGGCAGUUAAACAGAUUGCUCUGACAGUAAGUAUCAGAGUCCCUGAAUUCUAGGAAAUUCUGCUGUCUUUGAUGUGAGACUGAUGUAAGACUUUUGGCAAUCCACUUCAAUUUUAAAUGCAAAUUACGUUUGUUGAGUGCUAGAGAAGUGAGUUUUGAUGAUGCACAUUAGUGACAGAAAAUAACAUUUUGUGGUUAGUAUUUCAAAAUUCCCCUCACUCUUCAGCAAAAGCUUUUCCUCGCUAGGUCAAGCCAUUUACAUGAGAAAGAAGCCUGGGUCCAGCAGAACGUUUCUUCCCACUCUUCUGUCCCAGUGCUUCAAGAGCUCCUUCCUCCAAAUUCCAUGCUGGAUCAACUCUGAAAUGUGUCACUUGGCUUAAAUGGAAACAAACACUGAACCACAAGUCAGAUGUUUCAGAUUACAGAACGUGAUUAAAAAAAUACAGAAUGACAGAAAGCUCUAUCAGAACAAAAAGUUUAAAACCUUAUUUAAUAGAAUACUGAAGCAAAUGGAUUUCUUACAAACCUUUUGUGCUGAUAAUGUUAAAAUUGAAGGUGCUCAAGUCCUUGGUUUUCCUUGCCUGAAUUUGACAGGUUUUACUCAUUAUCAGAUUAUUUAAAUCCCUCUGUAUCACUACUCUUACUAUUCCUCACAGAAAACACAUAACAAAACCUUGCCACUCCCAAUUCCAAAGUUUUUCCUCAGCCUGAACACUUCAGGAAAUCCUGUGAAGGUUUUAUAUCAAUUUGAAACCUAGCAGAAACUGCUCCAAUCGCAUACAGCAGCCUGGAGUUGGCACUGCUGCUGCCAUCGUUAUCACUUACACUCUGACCAGCAGAGUACAGGCCAUGACAGGCUUUUUUAGCACUGGCAGAAAUUACUACAGCAGCUGCACUGGUAAUUACGCCAGUCACUAUGCCCCAUGAAUCACAUUCCUCUUCAAGUCCCCUGCCCAAGAACUGUCCUCACUUUCGUCUUCGCUACUUAAACUGUCAGACUCAAAAGCUCUCACAUCCACUAGAGCAAGUUUUGCACAGUACUCUUUCUACCAUAGGCGCUUCUUAUUUUGACUAUAAGAAAGAAAUACACUAUGUUUGUCUAGGAUAGUUUUGCUAAAUUAAAACCUAAUCAUUCUGUAAAGCUUAAAAACUACAAGUACAUUUCCUUUUUUCCUCCCACUGAAUAGAGUAAAACUUGUCAAAUGCUCCUGAAGUUUUCAUAAAGCCCCAGCAGAACAGCAAGGCUCCUUUAGCUCCAGUUGCACUCACAGCCUUGGAGUGCAGGCCUCGUAAAUACCAGCAUCGCGGUCUGUGUGCUUUAGGUUACCCAAACAGCUGUUGUAAAAAUACGAAACAAAAACUGUGUUUAUUCCUAAAUACACAGAUACAGGCUCAGGUAAAAAGAACGGAUUUUCUAUUUUCAGUUGAAUUCUCCAGAUCUUCAGGAUCUCCAGGAUCCUUCAGGAGAUCUCCAGAUCUUCAGGAACCUUCCUGUAAACUCUUUGAUAAGCUUCAGAGUACACUGUUUCACUUCAUUUCCUACUUAUUAAAUGUAUUUUACUUGAAUAUUAAUACUUCAAUUUCUUAACCUCUUUAUACCACGAGUUGCCAUUUUUUUCCAACCUCUGAUUUUGUUUUAUUCUACCACAGUACAACUGAGGUCAUCACGUUUUGCAAAGGUGUUUUGUCACAGUUUUGCAAGAACAUCUGAGGCUCUUUUCUUGCUUCUGUGUUAAUCCACACCGUUCUAUGACAGGCUAGAAAUAUAUGUUCUCUAUUCCUCCUCACACAGGUCUAACAAGUUACUGCAUUUUGAUUUUUCACAAACCUCAGGAAAGCUGCACAGCCUGCUUAUUUGACUCAGAUUCCUUCAGUUCAUAUACACGUAUUUUCCUCUUCCAAAUAAUUCUGAAAGUCUACCUCACGUUUCUAGUUUACAACACUGACUUAAUUCCUAAGCUUUUAUAAGAGUUUUGAAGUCAGCCAUGCACAGGAUAGCUUUUAAAAGGAAGACCAACAGCCAUACAAUGCUUAUUUACAAAAUAGGUAGCACGUGCACAGAAAGUGGAACCGCUGCUCUCCACAAUUAUUUGUUGAACCCUGCACAGGGAUCUUUCUCACAGCAACACUAAGCAUCAAAGCCAUGAACAAAAUCACUUAUCUGUAAUAAUAUCAGCCUACAUUUGUAACAAAACGUUCAAUGCUUCAGAAAAUAAACAAAGAAUAGCUUGGUCACCCAUCAAAUGCUGAAUAACACACUUAAAUACUCUUAAGGACUGUCACAAGAAAAAGGACAAUAUGCAGUACAUCUGCUGCUAAAUACACCUCCAAAACUCAGCUAAGCCCUCUCUUAUAAGCACAGCAGUAACAACAAGCUUGCGCAAGAAGAAAAAAGAAAACACAUAUUUGGCAACCAGAAACUGAGGACUAACGGCUGCAGAAAGUGGUUUUAAAAACUAGUGUCUAAGUUACGGGAGGUGGCAGGCUGACGGGUAAAUGUUGAUCAGGCUACCACUGCCAACAGCAAAAAUGUGUGACUCUUGAUUUCUUUCCUCAUUUUGCUAAACAUUAUGAAUUUCCAGGCUCUGCUGGUAUGCGAGAUACUGUGCAAAUAAAAGGGAGAUAACACUCUAUGCUUAACUCCUGGGGAACAAAACAAGUUUUGAGACAUGCCAGUACUCAUCUCUUCUCAGUUGAGCAACUUAGAACUACUUCCCAUUAAAUACAUCACUUUAAAUUACCUUUUUUUACGUUCUUCUCUUACUUGAAACAGUGUUAGAAAACAGCGUUGUGACACAAACAUGCAGCACUUGCAAAUAGUAAGUGCAGAAAUGAACAGUAAUCACUCAUGUGGCAGGAGUUAUACAGUCACAGAAGUCACCACUGAAAGAUACUUUGUUUUAAUGUAACUCUGCUUUGAGUUUGACAAGCUAAAAUAAAGGUAAAUAAUACACAAAAACCCUUCUGGGUUUAGGCUUCACUCUGCUUGCACCUCACUAACCACUAUUAGGAGUGAUUUAAAUAACUGAACAAGUAACAGAAGGCACAAAACCAACACCCAAGCCUCUUACAAUGGCAGUUAGCUUCGAUACUUCUGCAACCAACACCUCGAGGUCUUCAUUUACUUUUUCUACCGACAGCACUCCCAUUCUAAGGGUCUCAAAGCAUAAAUGUGUUGUCAGAACACGUAGAUUGUUUUCCAGUGCUCAUUUUUGCCCCCUUUCCCCUCAGAAUUCCUGGAUACCAGUGAUCAAUAUUGUUCUCACUUCCUGCUCAUGACCAACCUUCCAGCUACGCUGGAGGGGUGGAGAAGUGAGGGCAGGAAGAGGGACAAUUCACAAACAGAGUUUUCUCUUUCCAGUUUCUGUAUUUACAUACACAGAAAUGACUGAGGAAGAUGUUACACAAAACAUGAAGGAACGCAUUGUAUAGAUGCAGCAGGGACAAGCCAGAUACCAGCAGAUCUACAAAGGAGUAUUACAAGACAGAAAACAAUUGGCAGCUCAUUUCAGCAAAUGCUCAACUACCCAGUAUGUUUACAGACAUGGGAAAUCCUCCUGCAUACUUCUUAAAGUAUAGUUGCUUUCCAUAUAAACUUAAAGUAAAGCUGUAGCACUUCACAUUAAAAAAAGAAAAGGGGGAAGAGAUGUGCAUAGCAAAAUAAACAUUUGAGAUGAAAUCACUUAACUGCAGUUACACUAAAUAGCUUUUCAACAUUAGAUCAGAAAAUACCUAAAAGAUAAUCAUAAAGAAGCUUGUAAAAACAUAAUUCAAUAAAGUUUCAGCAUCUUCCAGAAGUGAGUGCCUUUAGCAUUUCAGAUUUGGGCCAAAGAUCCUGACACAUGAUCAGCUUCUAUGUGCAAACCCGUACUUACAAUAUUAAUAUAUUAUAUGUUAUCACAUAAUUAACAACAGAUGACUUUCAGCACCAAAGGAAUUGGAUAAAUAUGUGAACCACAUUCAAAAUCAAACAUUAACUGCAGUGAUUACUCACAACAUCAACUUCUUUGUACUUGAACAUUAAAAACCAGGAGGUACAGAUAAGAACAGAGUAUCUUCAUCUUCCAACAGGAGACUAACCACGGGUCCUCAUGACUACUUCCCACCACGGUGAGCCAAGCUCAGACCACCACUGCUGCUCAGCUCUGUUAAGGACUCUGACAAGACAGGAUUCCAUAGGUUUGUCAGUAUACAGCAUUUCCAAUCAAUGACACCUACAACAGAUAGAGGUGACUGUUUCCUUCAUUGAAACACACAAUAAAAAUUCCUCAAUUAAGACUUAACAUUCCUGCACCAAAACGUAACAGAUUUUUCCUCUAUUACAAAAACAGCAAACCUGAAUCUUUAUGACAUAUCAUUUUCUAAGCUAAUUAAUUUUCUUAUGCCAUAAGUGUAACAGUCAAACCAGUGAGCAGACAUUGUUUGUUUUUAAGAAAAGCUGUACUCUGCAGUUACUCAAAAUGCAUGUACCAUUGCGAAAGGACACUUCAACAUCUGAUCCCCAGAACAUUUCCAUGCAUUUUUAGUUCUCCCAACAAUUUUCAAGUCUUCUAAAAUCCUUACAACACAAGCAGCAUAUGCUUGCAUGGGGCAGAGGGGAAGAACCAACAUUUAAACUUUUCCUUUUGGCUUUGAACUUUGAAUAAAUUUCCCCCCCAUAUUUUGGACAGGAGCAGUUUAUAGUUUUAAGGAACACACUCUUAUUUUGUAAGAAAGCAAAAGGAAAAAAAAAAUCUCUAGAUCCUCAGAAACUCAUUUUGUCCCCAUGAUGAUAGUUUAGUUAAUACCUCUUGUUACAAUCAGAAAGGUCAGCGACACAGGAGUGUAACAGCAAAGGGACUAGUGGAGUGGGAAUGGUGUUACAAAGAAAAAGGAAAGGUGCUCACCCAUCUCUGAAGCUCUAGGCUUGCAGGAGACUCCACAAGGGAGGGAUCUCCAACCAGAGCUCCUACCCCAGUGGCAGUCAGUCCUUAAAUGAGGUCUAAGAGAGGUGCAGCCAGGCUCCACCCCUUCCUGUCUCACAGCUGAAUUGCCUUCACCUGCGUUCCCAGGGCUGACCGGUCCUUUCCCCAGCUGCUCAAUCAGUGGUUCAGGCCAGGACUCAAUGGUUACCAUACACUUACAGAUGCUCUACUUUUCCAAAGAUCUUCACCUGUGCUGUUAAACCACAUUCCAGACCAAGACAUCCUUGAAGAAACUUCAACCUUGGGGUCACCUUUGUUCACAUCUGUAAAGGAGAAUUUUAAACAGAGGUAAAACAGAAUUCACCUUAAGCCAGAAGUUUGAAAACUUUGCAAAGUUUACAUCCUAAAAUACUGCUGUAGUAAUUUUUAGCACACCGAAACCAAAACAACUCAUCCAUACCACAGAGAAAGCAGAAAUCCAAUGGCUCUAACAGCUAAACUAUAGAGAGACUCGUACUGUAGAAUCACAGAAUGGCCUGGGUUGAAAAGGACCGCAGUGAUCAUCAGUUCCAGCCCCCUGCUAUGUGCAGGGUCGCCAACCAGCAGACCAGGUUGCCCAGAGCCACAUCCAGCCUGGCCUUGAAUGCCUCCAGGGAUGGGGCAUCCACAACCUCCUUGGGCAACCUGUUCCAGUGCAUCACCACCCUAUGAGAGAAAAACUUCCUCCUAAUAUCUAACCUAAACCUCCUCUGUCUCAGUUAUGUCAUAGAACAGUCUAAGUUGGAAGGAAUCUUAAAGAUCAUUUAUUUCUGAUCUGUGGUGCCCCCCACCAGACCAGGCUGCCCAGGGCCCCAUCCAGCACAGCCUUGGGCACUGCAGGGAUGGGGUACCCACAGCUCUCUGCUCAGCCUGACCUCACCGCCCUCUGAGAGAAGAAUUCCUUCCCAACAACUAACUUAAGUCUCCCCUCUUUAAUUUUAAAGCCACUUCCCCUGAUCCUAUCACUAUCAUACAGUUUAAACAGUUACACCCCUCCUGCUUAUAAGCUCCCUUCAAGUACUGGAGGGCUGCAAUAAGACCUACCUCCAUCACAAAAACAUUAACCUGCUGCAAAUAGAGACAGCUGUGGAAUUAAGGUUGUGUUUGUUUUUUUUACCUCACACUGCAUCCAGCUCUAUCUCUCAUUCCCACCGAACUCACACUGAGCUGCCCGCUGCACCCACUGCAGCUCAUCCAGAUGAUGCGGCUAAGAUAUACACCCUAUAAAUGAAAAUAUUCCCGUAGACAGCCUAGCAGCAAUUCUCACUUUGUUAACAAACAUAAACGUCUCAAACCACUCUCACAGCCUUCACGCUGCCUCCUGUGCCUGCUGAGCGCACAGGGAACCCCACCAAGGGCCGCGUGCCGCUCACCUCAGCGUGCUGCCGGCCUCCAGCACCGCACGGACAGGCCGGACCCGGCGCAGACAGCGAGCCCUGCCAGGACAUUUUUGGCACCUCGUUUCAGCAGCCCGCCUGGCCAAAGAUACGACAGAACGCACCUCUUAUUGGCAACGCGGACCCGACGGCCACACGGAGCCGGGCUUCAUGUGACACCUCCGCUCACCGCAGCCGCCAGCACCUCCGCAGCACCUUUACGCAGAGGAAACCGCCCGGCCCGGGCCUCCCAAGCACCAGCACCGCCACCGCCUCCUCGGCCGGACAUCCUUCUCAGCACCCGCACGUAACCCGCACCGCACGGAGCCCCCAACGCUCCCCCCUCCCCCAGCGGCG
rnacentral:lncRNA from 1 species